rnacentral:ncRNA from 2 species
UUAAAAUGAUGCGGACGUACUCAUAUAAUCGCGAGGAUAUGGCUCGCAAGUUUCUACCGGAUUACCGUAAAUGAUCCGACUAUGGGUAUUGCAAGAUUUCAU